AGCUUGCUCCUGGAUUCAGCGGCGGACGGGUGAGUAAUGCCUAGGAAUCUGCCUGGUAGUGGGGGAUAACGUCCGGAAACGGGCGCUAAUACCGCAUACGUCCUGAGGGAGAAAGUGGGGGAUCUUCGGACCUCACGCUAUCAGAUGAGCCUAGGUCGGAUUAGCUAGUUGGUGGGGUAAAGGCCUACCAAGGCGACGAUCCGUAACUGGUCUGAGAGGAUGAUCAGUCACACUGGAACUGAGACACGGUCCAGACUCCUACGGGAGGCAGCAGUGGGGAAUAUUGGACAAUGGGCGAAAGCCUGAUCCAGCCAUGCCGCGUGUGUGAAGAAGGUCUUCGGAUUGUAAAGCACUUUAAGUUGGGAGGAAGGGCAGUAAGUUAAUACCUUGCUGUUUUGACGUUACCAACAGAAUAAGCACCGGCUAACUUCGUGCCAGCAGCCGCGGUAAUACGAAGGGUGCAAGCGUUAAUCGGAAUUACUGGGCGUAAAGCGCGCGUAGGUGGUUCAGCAAGUUGGAUGUGAAAUCCCCGGGCUCAACCUGGGAACUGCAUCCAAAACUACUGAGCUAGAGUACGGUAGAGGGUGGUGGAAUUU
rnacentral:rRNA from 1 species